rnacentral:lncRNA from 1 species
UUAAUGAGUAACCUUAUUUCACUAAGAACAAAAAUGAGUAAAUGGGUAUCCCCAGAUACCAGGUCCUACAUCUGUCAGGACAGAAUUCAGCCGUGAAGGAGAAACCCCAACAAAAGCUUUGGUCUCCAGGGAUUCGCUCCUUCUUAGAGGGAAGGAUUGCUGCAGAAGAUCACAGAGAUGGGAAAGUGAAGCACGCCUAGGGCUUUUAUUCAUAGAAACGUUACCAGUUGGAGGUGAGCAGUUGCUAGUUUUUGUUGUGCAAAACUAAGCAGUAAAUAUUGAUUUAAUAUUUACUUUCAUCAUGAAGCCAGACAUUCAGCCUGUAAGUCAUUAGUCGUGGUUUCUCACGGAGAUGCCAGUGCUUAACUGGUGCCUCCAGGAGUGACAAGACAGCCCUCUGUUACUCUGUUCCCCAGAUUGCGCACACCAUCUCUGGUGGCUGACGAUGCCAGCACGCACUGAAUUACCCACCAUUGUCCUGCCAGUGAGGUUCUGCAAAUCCCACUGACCCCAGGUUCUGUUAGGAGAACUACACUCAUGUCAG